AAAGAACUGAUAUGGCAGAAAGGUGAGAGAUUAGUGAAUGUUCAUUCACAAGACAAAAUCACCAUAGAUGAUUCCUACGUGGACAGGACACAACUCUUCAUAAACAUGGAGAAGAGAAACUGUUCCCUACUGCUCCGCAACAUCUCUACAGCAGAUGCAGGACUGUACACCUGUUAUGCCAUAGACACUGUUGAUAACAAGGUCUGGACAAAGGAGUCUACAGAAGUUAAUUUAACAGUGGAGAUCAACCCUGAAAAAAGCGUCCAAACUGAAGAAGAAUCUGACACAGCUGUCCCUGUUAGUGUUCCCAUAGCGGUAGUACUGCUUAUACUGGCUGUUAUCCUGCUUCUAAUCCUACUGAUCAGAAGACAACAUCGGACACGCACGGACACUGAUUUACCGGCUGAGAAACCUAUGCUACAGAAUGUGUGAAGUGCUCUUGCUUGACAGUUUAAUGGACUUACUUCUAUGUUGUAAUGCAAGGUCCUUCACAACAACAACAAUGGACAAUAAGAGGCCUUAGCCCUAAACAAAUGCGUUCGCAUGUGGGCAUUACACAAUGGUGCGUGCUGAUCCGUCUCACUUUGAGACAGAUUAAUGUUCAGUUUUCAGUUGUAACACUGUUACUUGUUUACCACUGAAUUGUGAAUACACUGCGGAUAUACAUUCAGUAGGCAUUACAGUUUUGUAAUUUGACAAGAUUCUCCUUGUAGGAACUGUCUUUAUUCAUUCUUUGAAGAACAGAUGUGAGGGGUAGGGGACAUGCAGUUUGUAUUUUGCCUUUUCCUCUCUCUUUGAGACAAACUGGUGGUCUCAAUCCUAAACAAGCUUUCCAAAUAAUUUUAUUUUAUUGUUCAUAUGUGUACAGCAAUCAUUUACUAAGCACUCAUCAUGCAAGCUUCUUUACAUUUACUCUUGAAUUGGUUGUUUUACUCAGCCUGUGCUGAUUUCAUUUAUGUGGAAGAAAUAAUAUGGCACUCCCUAUGGGAUAUAUUUGCUUUUUUUACUGUACUAAAUUUCAUUUACUUUUAAAUGAAUUCUGUAAAGUGCUUCAAACCUGUCAAGGCAAUAAACCUUUUACAUAUACAGUUUUUCUUUGUAGUACGGCCUCCUUUUUUACUAAAGUUUAAGUACUAUAAUGCUGCUCGCUCUGAAUGACUUCCAAC
ensembl:lncRNA